CCCCUCUCAGGGUCCCACCUGUAGGGUUUCCAGUACUCUACCAGUCUCAGCGAGAGGAGGGAAAGUCAAGCAGGGGCAUACCCAUUCCAUUCCUAGCUUGGGCAAUGGCUAGCGAGUGGAAGGCAAUCUGCUACAAAU
rfam:Ornithorhynchus anatinus chromosome 1, whole genome shotgun sequence.